UCGAGCGGAAACGACAUUAUUGAAUCUUCGGAGGAUUUAAUGGGCGUCGAGCGGCGGACGGUUGAGUAAUGCCUAUGAAAUUGCCUUGAUGUGGGGGAUAACCAUUGGAAACGAUGGCUAAUACCGCAUAAUGCCUACGGGCCAAAGAGGGGGAUCUUCGGACCUCUCGCGUCAAGAUAUGCCUAGGUGGGAUUAGCUGGUUGGUGAGGUAAUGGCUCACCAAGGCGACCAUCCCUAGCUGGUCUGAGAGGAUGAUCAGCCACACUGGAACUGAUACACGGUCCAGACUCCUACGGGAGGCAGCAGUGGGGAAUAUUGCACAAUGGGCGAAAGCCUGAUGCAGCCAUGCCGCGUGUAUGAAGAAGGCCUUC
rnacentral:rRNA from 1 species